rnacentral:ncRNA from 1 species
UAUCUUUGCAGCGCCUUAAAAAAGGCAUACAUAACAAUCAUUAAAUAAUAUUAGCAUG